ensembl:lncRNA
AUGUUUGACCUUUUACAAAUGGAAUGGUUUCCUGCAGGUCAUGGUUCUGUACUGAGUGCUGCUGGUUAUGUGCAACCUGAUGCAAUCAUUAUGAAUGGCAAAACUCUUGCUGCUGGCACAGACUCCUGCGUAAGGAGGAUUUCUAACCCAGUGACUUUUGCUUGUUUGAGUCUAAGGAAAGGAGGAAUACAUCUUUCUGCUUCAUCCAUUUUCAUCCAUUCAGUUGUAUUUCCAAAGCACAGCCUUUCUUCUGACCUGCUGCACUGCCAUCAUGGAUAUUUCUGUUCUGUUGAGGUAUUAUUGGCUAUGGAUAUGGAGUAUGUGAUAAGAGUCUGAGUUUGCGAUCAUGAAUUUGGCAAAUGGAUUUACGCACGGGAGAUGGUGGGAUGCUGGAGGUGCAAUUCUACUUGGCCAGUUUGUGAUUAAAUUAUGGAGAAGAUCGGUAUAUCCAUAAAGUUACACUUUUUAGUAGUUACAACUUCUAUAUCUAAGUAAAUAGCAAGUGAUACUAUGGAAAAUAUCUCCUCUAAUGUGGAAGAGACUUUGCAGAGCAUGGAUUGCCACAGAAACUGAAACUGCUUUUGCUGAUAUCUCUGAUGGUGCUGUAUGAGUAGAUCACUUCCGAGAACUUUUUUACUAGGAUAUUUUCUUAUGAAAAAAGUGUGUGCUCAGUCUGGAGAUGCUUUAUACAGACAUACAGUUGUUUCUAAGAAGACUUUCAUUUUAGUUCCACAAAAUGGAUAUCCAGAAUUAAGAAGUUACUUGUUGGAGAGCUAGGACAUGUCCUAAAGGCAAAAAUAUUGAUCUUGUCAUUGCCUAAAUCAUUGGAUUUACAGUUCUGUUCCAUAUGUGGUAACAGGAAGUUGGAUCUAACUUGUGAUGUUUUCUGUCGUAAUAGAGGGAUACAUCUGAGUUCUGAUUUCCAGAUCUGACAGAUUUGCCUGAUAGUUGCUUAUUAAUAACGAUUUGCAAAUUAUGGUAAUUUUCACCAAACUUUAAAAAAAGUACGAAUAUAAGUUUGCUUUUUUAUUUUUUUAUUUAUUUUUUAUUAUUUAUUAUUGUUGAACUAUGCUUUGCUGAAUAAUCAGGUUUUUUUGCAUCUGAAAUUAGGGUAUCUGAAGCCAUCUUUUAUUCUAAGCACUUAUUGCCAUUAAUAAUUAGAGCCUUUCUGCUAUGUAGCCAAAUGAGGAAUGCUUGUCUGACAGAAUUUUUGAAUGCUCUGUAUUUCAGUUAAAUCAGAGAUGCAAAUACUUAAGGACAUAAUACAAGUUUGUGUCAAGGGGACUUUAGAUAUGUAAACUAUUAAAUGGAGCAUGCACAACUCUAUCUGGAAGAUCCAGAAGCAUUUAUUUAUUAUCCUAGUGUAUAAGUAUCACUUACAAUUUGAAUGGCGGGGGAAAAAAGCCCACUGAAGGAACACAGCAUUUUAGGUGUGUUCUCUGAGAAAGGUGUAGUUUACUUUUUAUGUUAGCAAAUACUUACAGAGGUGAAGUGUUUAAUGUGUUUCAUGGGUUUUGAAACACAGAGAUGUAUCUGAUGCGUAUUUUCCCUUCAAGAGUGAAAUCUAUUUUUAAAAUUUGACCAGCUGCUAAACUAUCUGAUUCUUUAAAGCUUGAUAUACUUUUUGAAUUUGGUUCCUGCCGUAUACAGAAAGACAGUCAUAGUACAAUUUUAAAGUUGUUCUCCAAGGCAUGAGGUUUAAAGCAUGUCUUCUGAUUUUCUUCUCUAAGAAGAUGAAAUCUGAAAAAAAAAAAAAAAAAAAAAAANNNNNNNNNNNNNNNNNNNNNNNNNNNNNNNNNNNNNNNNNNNNNNNNNNNNNNNNNNNNNNNNNNNNNNNNNNNNNNNNNNNNNNNUUAAAAAAUAUCUUCUUAUUUUUUUUCUAAAAAGAAGAAAUCUAAAAAAAAAAAAAAAAAAAAAAAAAAGAUUUUAAUUUUCUGCACUAUUCAGAGAAAAGUUAUGCAAUCUAUUUCAAUUUUCAAUCAAUUUCCUAUGACGUACAGUUUCCUCCUAGCCCCAAAUUAUUACUCCUUCAGAACUAUUUUACUCUAUCCCAUAGUUGCUUCUAAUGCCUCAUAUCACUUAAAUAGGAAUCAGCUAAUUUAUAAGUAUUGUUACGUAAGUCGCAUAUAUACACUAACUGUAGGCUCCAAAAAGUGAUUAGAAGCAGCUUUAAAGGAACAUGGUCAAAGUUAAGCAGCUCACAUUUGGACAGCUCAAACAUGAAAAGAAAUGUUCAGUUUUAUUGGGGAGUAUUUUAAAAAUUUAAAAUAUCAUUUGGAGAUGGAAAAAGGUCAACCUGUAAUGCUUCUCAGGUAGUUUACAUUAAUGACCCUUGUCUGACAAACUUCCCAAUAAUCUCAGGUAGGAACCUUGGUUAACUUUCUGUUUUAUUUAACAAUUUCUAGUUAAGCAUCAUUUCGUUAGGCAAGAUUAUGUUCUGGUACAAGUGAAAUAGUUCUGCCAACACUUCAUAAAAGGAGUAUCUGCAUGUCAUUUUGUUUAAUGGAAGGGCGUCAUCUUUGUUAAUUGCAUGCAGCACAGAAUGGACUAAGCAAAUUGAGUUCUGGAUAUUGGUCAGACACUGAAGAAAAUGAUGGGAAACAUCAAUCAGUGGUUUUCCAGUACUGUUGGCAUCAUUCAAAAAAAAUUCAAAGCUCUUUGCAGAUAGAACUUGCCGUCCCCAUGAGUGGUUUAAAUAUUAAUUACUUUGGUAUCUGUUUUAUUCUCAUAUGUUUAUCUUUAUAUUAUGUGACAAUAUUGCAGCCAAAAAUUUUUAGUGCCUUCUAUUUUUACAGAUUUUCACAAAGUCAGAAUCAUAGAAUGGUUGAGAUUGGGAGGGUCCUCUAGAGAUCAUCUAGUCCAACCCUCUGCCAAGCAGGGUCACCUUGAGCACUGAAUGGCAGCACAGCCCUCUGGUGGAUCAGACACCCCUCCCAAUUUUGUGUCAUCAGCAAACUUGCUGAGGGUGCACUCUAUUCCAUCAUUCAGGUCACUGAUGAACAAGAAUGGACCCAGUACUGACACCUGGGGGACACCGCUACCUACAGGUCUCCAACCAGACUGCACCACUGAGUCAGUUUCAAUUACAUAUAUAUCCUUGUGGAGACAUUUUAACAAUUGAAUUAAUUUAUACUGAAGAGAAGCUGUUUAUACUUUUCUUAUUAGUAAUACAAAACCAUAACUAAGCAAUUUUAAAGCAAUUUUUUGGGGUGAAUAUUAUUAAAGUUCAGAGCUUCGUAAUUUCUUACAUAAGUGCAAGUGACAUACAAAUACUUGCUGUUGAAAUGUUGAAAUGUGUAUAUAAAAAAUAGUGUUAUCAUUACUUGUACAUUAACUGUACAAGUAUCUGUACAGUGACUAAUUUAGAUUUAGACAACUAACAUUCUGAUGGUCAAAAUUAAAUAAAUUUAAUUCUCAUGUUCCGAUACUGUACUUU